UGGUUGCAGGCGUAGAUGUUGCCUUCAAGAGCCUCCAUCUCUGUAAACUUGGACAGCAUCUCUAUGAGGGAGCAGCUGCGCUGGACAGACACGUCACCUAAAAGCAGGACAAGAGGAGGAAGGAGGAGAUGUGGAUAAUAAAAUCAGUCAUGUAGCGUUUUAAAUUCUUUGUUAUAUUCUGAAUUUUCGUAUUUAAUCAUGCAACUUCUGUUGUUAAAUUCUGUUCGUAUAAAGCACUUUGUUGAAGAGGACCGUAUAAAUAAGGUCUGACUGAUACUUUUACUGUGGUGUCCAAAUUAGAGAUGCACAGAGAAACUGGCUGGUCUGAAACUCAAAAAUCUGGUCUGAAGUGAUUAAUCAAUCAUUGAAAUAAUUGCAAACUAAUUUAGUAAACCGAUUAAUCGCUAAUUGAGUAAACAGACUCAGAAAAGGCCUUUAGCUGAAAGAACACCAUGUUCCGAGCAGUAUUAAACCAAAACUGUAUUUAAUAAAUAUUUUGCAUUUCAGAUACAUUUAAAAAAAAACGUACAUUAAAGGAAAAAGUUUCUGAAUCUUAACAUUUUUAUUUUCUUAUACGUAAAGGUAAUUGAAUUACUUAUUUGCAUCUUUUAAUGAACUUGUAAUAUAAGAAAAAGGCUUUAGUGACUAAAUGAAAAAUUUGAAGAAUGUGCCAAUUUUUUAUCCAACUAAUCAUCAGAAUAAUUGAUAGAUUAAUCGACUGUCCUAAUCUGAACACCCCAUUACCAAACAGAGGAAGCUGCCGUGAACAACAACACUCUUCAGUGGUCGUUGUGACUAAGCGACCGUUUAUACUACUAAUAAAAUGCGACCACAAUCAGACUUAUGUGUGAACAAUUUACGACCCAAAGCGACCUGCAUGCGCUGAUGUCACAACUGUGUAUUGUUCACAGAAGUUAACAAUUAAAGCCGCCAUCUUUGGAUCAGUUCUAAAUUUUGGAGCGAUAGGAGCCAAUGGCUAAUAAAAAUAAGC